rnacentral:rRNA from 1 species
UAGUACGGCGAGUGAAGCGGGAAGAGCUCAAAUUUGAAAUCUGGUGGCCUCAGGUCAUCCGAGUUGUAAUCUAUAGAAGUGUUUUCCGUGCUGGCUCAUGUACAAGUCCCUUGGAACAGGGCGUCAUAGAGGGUGAGAAUCCCGUCCUUGACAUGAACUACCAGUGCUCUGUGAUACAUUUUCAACGAGUCGAGUUGUUUGGGAAUGCAGCUCAAAAUGGGUGGUAAAUUCCAUCUAAAGCUAAAUAUUGGCGAGAGACCGAUAGCGAACAAGUACCGUGAGGGAAAGAUGAAAAGCACUUUGGAAAGAGAGUUAAACAGUAUGUGAAAUUGUUGAAAGGGAAACGAUUGAAGUCAGUCGUGCUCUUUGGAUUCAGCCGGUUCUGCCGGUGUACUUCCUUUGAGUGGGGUCAACAUCAGUUUUGAUCGCUGGAUAAAGGCUGGAGGAACGUAGUACCCUCGGGUAAACUUAUAGCCUCCUGUCACAUACAGUGGUUGGGACUGAGGAACGCAGCACGCCUUUAUGGCCGGGAUUCGUCCACGUACGUGCUUAGGAUGUUGACAUAAUGGCUUUAAACGACCCGUCUUG